rnacentral:rRNA from 1 species
ACGCACGCUGGCGGCGUGCUUAACACAUGCAAGUCGAACGAUGAAGAAAAGAAUUGAAGCUUCGGCAGAAAUUCAUUUCGGAUUAGUGGCAGACGGGUGAGUAACGCGUGAGCAACCUACCUCUUACAAAGGGAUAGCCUCGGGAAACCGGGAUUAAUACCAUAUAACAUUGCGACGAAGCAUUUCGAUGCAAUCAAAGCUACGGCGGUAAGAGAUGGGCUCGCGUCCCAUUAACCAGAUGGUGAGGUAACGGCUCACCAUAGUAACGAUGGGUAACCGGCCUGAGAGGGUGAACGGUCACACUGGAACUGAGACACGGUCCAGACUCCUACAGGAGGCAGCAGUGGGGAAUAUUGCACAAUGGAGGGAACUCUGAUGCAGCGACGCCGCGUGAGUGAUGAAGGAAUUCGUUUCGUAAAACUCUGUUCUAUGGGAAGAAAAGGACUGUACCAUAGGAGAAAGCUCCGGCUAAAUACGUG